UACGUAGGGGGCGAGCGUUGUCCGGAUUUAUUGGGCGUAAAGAGCGUGUAGGCGGCCAGGUAGGUCUGCUGUGAAAACUCGAGGCUCAACCUCGAGACGUCGGCGGAAACCAUCUGGCUAGAGUCCGGAAGAGGAGAGUGGAAUUCCUGGUGUAGCGGUGAAAUGCGCAGAGAUCAGGAAGAACACCGGUGGCGAAAGCGCUCUGCUAGGCCGCAACUGACACUGAGGGACGAAAGCUAGGGGAGCGAAUGGG
rnacentral:rRNA from 1 species